GAACCUAAACUAGGCAGUUACUGGAUUGAUGCUUCCAGGAUUAUAAGUGAUGUAAAUUGUAGCGCUGUUUCUUGUUAUUUAAUUGUUGUUUACUUCUUCUUCGACUGUUAUAAAUUUAAUAUGUCCUUAUAUUAUUGCUUACCAAGCUUAUGAAAUGCUAUAGAAUCGUUAACCGAGAUCUUGAUCUUCUAAUGGGCUGUUCUGCAAGAAUUAGACUUUUUGUAGAAUUAACCAUUUUGGCAUGAUAUAAUAGGAAAGGUACGCGAUCGUCCUAUCCCUGUCGCUGGGGGGAACGGCGGGUGUGUAGCAAGGGAUUCCAAGACUUCUCGCCAGGUUCGCUAGUGAGUUAGGCUGUUUGCAUCUCAGGAAGAUUUUGUAUUUUUAGUUAUUCGAAAAUGUGUAAGGAAAGUGAAUGAAUUGAAGCGUCAUUUCAGACCUAAGUUUUAGGUACUACAAGAUUGAAAAUAGGGCCAACUGGGAAUUUUUAAUUAAUUUUAGAAAAACCUUAAUUUUUGAAAAUUGCGCCUUUUGCAACAUUCCCAAUUUAUUAAUUUUCUCAUCCGAACAUAUCCGAUAUCAGUUAGAAACGAUUUUUUUCUGUUUUUUCUGUCUUUUGACUUCAACCAAAAGCUAAACACAACUAAAACUUCGACACUCCACACUCCUCACAACUCAUCAUCACAACAAUCAUCCGACACCAUUCCAGAGGGAUUACUAGUCGUGUUCAGUGUUUCGGAUUUUUUUUUUCAAAUCCAAUCCAAAUCAAAUCAAUUAAUUCCGAUCGUUAAUAAAGAUUUGUUUCGGAUUUUUGUUUCAAAUUUUGAAUUUUUUUCUAUACCACCCACCACUGUUUAGUAUUCACCCUUGCCUGUAGUCUGCACUUGAUCCUCGUACCUGGUGUGACUUUUCUUGCUGAAAAAGACCUGACACAUCUUGAACAUUUUUCUACUUUUUUCUGUUUUGUUACAUUAAACAUUUUCGUCCUCGUGUGUUAAAAAAAAACUCUUGAAAGGUAAGGAAUACUAUCAGUUAGUCGUUUUCUACACUAUGCAGCCAUAUCUUUACUUUAUCGCAACUAAAAAACUUAUAUUUUUUAUGUUAUUGUGAUUCAUGUGCUAAUAUUUUGAAUCUGCUUGGUAUAUUUUUUUGUUUUAUCUAAAUGACACGACAAUCCUGCGCCCGUGGAGGGGCUAGCCGUGAAACAGGGCUAGCUCGAGUUCAAAGCCAGAACCUAGAGCUGAUCAUGGGGAAGAUGAUAGUAAAACAGUCGAUGAAGCUGGACCAGAGUCUGAAAUUGUACCUGAAGCUGCACCUGAGACACCAAAAGACUCGGUGGGCAUGCCACGCAGCUAAUUCUUGAAGUGACCAGCUUAUCUCUGUCACUUCUUUUUAGACUGGAGAAAGACUAAGGAGCGAUUCUAUGCAAAGUGCAACCUCUGCCUUGGAAACAAGUACCACAUGGGAAUCCAGAGUUCAUUUUCCAACUUCAUUCAACACCUCCAAAUAUUCCACAAAGAAGAGAGGGAUUAUUUUGAGUCCUCUACGGAGUCAAAGCAACCAUCAGUUACGUCAUUUAUCUCACCUCGAGUUGCGAGCCGCGAAAGCAGGGGCAGCUGGAUAGGCUUCUCUGCCAGAUGAUCAUCACAGACAAUCUUCCGCUCAAUAUUGUCAGGAGGCAAGGCUUCCGAUAGCUUUGUACCCUGGUUACAAAAUACCAUCCCUAGAAAACCUCCGAAAGCUUAUCGAUUAGCUUUUUGAACGACCGAAGGCUGCAUUAAGGGACAAGCUGAAACGUGUCAAUUCAACCUCUAUUAUAAUGGACUUGUGGUCUUCCAAAACUACGCGGGAGUACACUCGCUUCCAUAAAUAUGUAGGCCACCGCCCGCGGGUUGUACCGCUUCAAAUAUACCUUUACGGAAUGUUUACUUAAGCUUGUGAAAGGAAGAAAACGGUGAAAUUCUUCAUGCGGACCAAAAACUCGCCCACCUACUCUUGCCAUUUUUAACACAGUGUAGCUUUUCAUAUUUGUAAGAAAAAUUUUAAGGAAAAAAAGCCUUGAAAUAAUAGCUUUUUUGGUUUUCAUACUCAUCCCAUCAUUAUUUUGGUUUCAUAUGUAACCCCUUCCUACUCUAUUGUCGAAUAUACCAUAAAGGCGCGCAUAAAGGUAUUUUUGAAGCGGUACAACCCGCGGGCGGUGGCCUACAUAUUUAUGGAAGCGAGUGUACCAAGGCAUAUCCUGCACGGGCGUGACGGAGGAUAACGAGCCGUUCAACGCUUUCUUAACUCUACGGCAUACGCAAGGAAGGCAUACUAGUGCAGCAAAUUUUGCCGAGUACAAGUCGGUUGUGAAGGACUGGAAUAUCAUCAACAAGUCAUUCGUGUUAUGACUGAUAUUGCAUCGAAUAUGAAGUCUGCUUUCUCUUCCAGUCUACCCAGCUGGGAGGCUGUGCCAUCUUGCGGUGGAAUGCCUUCAACGGACGACACUGACGAGUGUGACGACGAUGACGACGAUGACGACGAUGGCGACGGAUGGGUUGACUUGGAGUUGGAUAUCGACGAGGAAAUCGAGUUGUUGGUGUCGGCCGAUGGCGAGGAUCAGAAAUACAUGCAAUUAAAGUUGAAUCUUGAAGAAAUCUUUGACGAAUACUUUACGACUUCAAAAACAGACCUUCCCUCGUUUCGUGAUUCCGUUCGUCAAGUGUUGCACACACUAUUCAACUCACUGUUAAAGACGGUUUAAAAGCCUCAAAUGUAACAUCAAUUUCUUCCGCCUUAAAACUGGCCUCUAAGACUGCAAAACACUCGACAAGCAUGUUUACUUUCGGCCAGUGUUCUGUCAAAUAAGCUUCUUCGAAUAAAAUUUUCGAUUUUUAAUCAAUUGAAUUGAAUCUUGAUCCUUGAUCUUUCGAAUAAAUGAGUUUUAUUCGUAUUCGUGAUUCUCGAUCUUUUUGAUAAAAAUUAUUCGUUAUUUUAUUCAAUUGUGCGCGAAUAAAUUUUCGAAUAAUUAUCGAAUAGUUUUUACAUUUCGGGAUGCUGUUAAGUUUCGUGUAGGCGUCUGCAUGAAAGACGAAAAUUAUAGUUCGGUCUGUUUCAGUCUAUGUUCAAUCUAGUCUUUUUCACGUGGUCUUUUGGCUUGUUUUGUGAUUUUUGUGAUUUUUUCAAGGUAUUAUAAUUAUUCAUAGACGACGAAGAAGUUUUAUCUUAAUUUUUUUUAAGACAAUACUUUGAAGAGUAAUGAGUGUGAUCGUUCAGAUGCAGACUCAUCUGCAGAUGAAGUUGGGGAUUCCUGUUGGAAACGUCUCCAUUUUUCUUACUUCACAUUUUCAAAGGAAGUUAUGGUAUCUAAACCCAAAAAGAAUACUAAUAUCAGAGGUGAAUGCAAAAAGUGUAAGGCGUCAUGUUCUGGCCAACCAAUCUACUAGCAAUUGGCUAAGUCAUAUCAAGAAACGCAAAGAUUUUCAUGAUGACGACAAAGAAAGAAAGGCAGCAAAGAUAUUGUUCGCAAAAAAAACUGAAGUUUCUUCAAAGACACAAGCCGCAAGAAAUAAAAGAGAGAAAGUAAGACAGGUGAAAUUAGACUUCCCCUCUUCUAAGGCUCCUACUAAAUUUACGCAAAUAGAGCAAAAACGAGUUGAUCAGUUGAUUACGGAUUACGUAAUCAGCAAAGCGCGUCCCUUAAGCACGGUUGAUGACCCUGCUUUUAUUGCUAUGGUGCAUGGACUAAAUCCAAAGGCAAAUGUGACGGGUGCGAGAAAAUUAAGAUCCAUGGUCGAAGAAGAACGACAAAAAUUCCUAGAUAAAGUAAUUAAUGACUUGAGUUCUGCCAAAUACGUUUGUCUGAAAGCAGACAUUUGGUUCGCCUCACACCGUGGGUGGAUCGGCAUUACUGCUCAUUGGCUCGACUCAAAAGAAUUAAGAAAUUCAAGAUUAGAGAAAAGGUUUGCUGCAUUGUUACGGAUAAUGGAGCAAACAUUAAGA